rnacentral:rRNA from 1 species
AUGAACGCUGGCGGCGUGCCUAAUACAUGCAAGUCGAGCGAACGGACGAGAAGCUUGCUUUUCUGAUGUUAGCGGCGGACGGGUGAGUAACACGUGGAUAACCUACCUAUAAGACUGGGAUAACUUCGGGAAACCGGAGCUAAUACCGGAUAAUAUUUUGAACCGCAUGGUUCAAAAGUGAAAGACGGUCUUGCUGUCACUUAUAGAUGGAUCCGCGCUGCAUUAGCUAGUUGGUAAGGUAACGGCUUACCAAGGCAACGAUGCAUAGCCGACCUGAGAGGGUGAUCGGCCACAGUGGAACUGAGACACGGUCCAGACUCCUACGGGAGGCAGCAGUAGGGAAUCUUCCGCAAAGGGCGAAAGCCUGACGGAGCAACGCCGCGUGAGUGAUGAAGGUCUUCGGAUCGUAAAACUCUGUUAUUAGGGAAGAACAUAUGUGUAAGUAACUGUGCACAUCUUGACGGUACCUAAUCAGAAAGCCACGGCUAACUACGUG